rnacentral:rRNA from 1 species
CGUAUCACCCAAGACAACUUUACGGAGUUGACGAUUGACGGAGCGAAGCGACGUCAAAGCGUUCAUUAAAGUCGAGUUGGCUUAGGGAUACGUUCGUUGGGUAGGGGAGCGUUCUGUAAGCCUGUGAAGGUGUGUCGUGAGGCAUGCUGGAGGUAUCAGAAGUGCGAAUGCUGACAUAAGUAACGAUAAAGCGGGUGAAAAGCCCGCUCGCCGGAAGACCAAGGGUUCCUGUCCAACGUUAAUCGGGGCAGGGUGAGUCGACCCCUAAGGCGAGGCCGAAAGGCGUAGUCGAUGGGAAACGGGUUAAUAUUCCCGUACUUGGUGUUACUGCGAAGGGGGGACGGAGAAGGCUAUGUUGGCCGGGCGACGGUUGUCCCGGUUUAAGCGUGUAGGUGUGUGUUCCAGGUAAAUCCGGUUCACUUUAACACUGAGGCGUGACGACGAGGCACUACGGUGCUGAAGCAACAAAUGCCCUGCUUCCAGGAAAAGCCUCUAAGCAUCAGGUAACACGAAAUCGUACCCCAAACCGACACAGGUGGUCAGGUAGAGAAUACCAAGGCGCUUGAGAGAACUCGGGUGAAGGAACUAGGCAAAAUGGUGCCGUAACUUCGGGAGAAGGCACGCUGAC